GUUGGGCAUGGUGGUGCAUGCCUGUGGUCCCAGCUACUUGGGAGGCUGAGGUGGGAGAAUCACUUGAGCCCAGGAGGUUGAGGCUUCGGUGAGCCAAGAUCACAACACUGCACUCUGGCCUGGGCAACAAAGUGAGACCCCAUCCCAA
rfam:Gorilla gorilla gorilla genomic chromosome, chr4, whole genome shotgun sequence